rnacentral:tRNA from 1 species
GCCUGAGUGGCUCAGUCAGUUAAGCGCCCGACUUCGGCUCGGGUCAUGACCUCACGGUUCGUUGAGUUCGAACCCCUCCUCAGGUC